CAGCCGCCGCGGUAAUACAGAGGGUGCGAGCGUUAAUCGGAUUUACUGGGCGUAAAGCGUGCGUAGGCGGCUACUUAAGUCAGAUGUGAAAUCCCUGAGCUUAACUUAGGAAUUGCAUUCGAUACUAGGAAGCUAGAGUCUGGGAGAGGAUAGUAGAAUUCCAAGUGUAGCGGUGAAAUGCGUAGAUAUCUGGAAGAAUACCAAUGGCGAAGGCGGCCGUCUGGCCUAAUACUGACGCUGAGGUACGAAAGCAUGGGGAGCAAACAGGAUUAGAUACCCCCGUAGUCCCUGUCUCUUAUAC
rnacentral:rRNA from 1 species